UACGGGGGGAGCAAGCGUUGUUCGGAUUUACUGGGCGUAAAGGGCGCGUAGGCGGCGUGACAAGUCACUUGUGAAAUCUCCGGGCUUAACCCGGAGCGGUCAAGUGAUACUGUCGUGCUAGAGUGCGGAAGGGGCAACUGGAAUUCUCGGUGUAGCGGUGAAAUGCGUAGAUAUCGAGAGGAACACCUGCGGCGAAGGCGGGUUGCUGGGCCGACACUGACGCUGAGGCGCGAAAGCUAGGGGAGCAAACGGG
rnacentral:rRNA from 1 species